rnacentral:rRNA from 1 species
AAUCAACGCUGGCGGCGUGCCUAACACAUGCAAGUCGAACGAGAAAGUGGAGCAAUCCAUGAGUAAAGUGGCGACCGGGUGAGUAACACGUGACUAACCUACCUCCGAGUGGGGAAUAACUCCGGGAAACCGGGGCUAAUACCGCAUAACAUCGCAAGAUCAAAGCAGCAAUGCGCUUGGAGAGGGGGUCGCGGCUGAUUAGCUAGUUGGCGGGGUAACGGCCCACCAAGGCGAAGAUCGGUAUCCGGCCUGAGAGGGCGCACGGACACA